ensembl:lncRNA
AUGAUUAUACAUUCAGUUCAGACUUGGUAUAAACUGCGGCCUCUUCUGGGACAGGAUAAUUUUCUUUCCCCUAAAACACCUUUAUGGGGGAACAGAUUGCUACCAAUGUGUCAUCAAAACAAAAAUUUUAAGAUAUGGGCAGAGAAAGGAACUAAACUGUUGGAGCAUUGCUUUGAUGGCGAUGUUUUAAUGUCGUUUGAACAGUUAAAAAAUAGAUAUAAUUUGAGUAAUAAAGAAUUCUUUAGUUAUCUACAAUUACGAGAUUUUUUAAGAGUCAAAGCAAAAACUUUUCCUAAACUACCGGAUUUGACAUUUGUUGAGCAACUCUGUUACUCUGAUAAACCACUAUAUAAAACAAUCUCUAGAAUAUAUGAAGCUCUGAUCUCAAAUCAGCCUUUAGAUGACCCAGAUAAAUCCAAAAAGAGAUGGGAGCAGGAUUUGGGGGUAAGAAUAGAUGCAGACCUGUGGGGUCAAUUAUGUAAAGAUGGGGUCACCUCAACCUUGAAUUCUAGGUAUAGAUUAAUUCAGUUUAAUUUUUUACACCAGCUUUACUACACUCCGUCUAGAUUACAUACAUUUAACAACAGUAUUUCACCCCUCUGCUUCAGAUGUGGUACAGAGGAGGGGACACUUUUGCAUUCCACCUGGUUGUGUCCUAAGGUUAAGGUGUUCUGGGAACAAGUAUGUGAUAGUAUAUCACAGAUUCAUGGAAUUGACUUUCCAAUGGAUCCAGAGGUAUGUUUAUUAGGCAAUUUUACCAACUCUAACCUCCGAAACAGACAAGCUAUUAAGCUUACUGAAAUGUUGUUAAUAAUAGCUAAAAAAUGUAUUGCUUUGAAAUGGAAAGCAGACACUGAUGUGCCAAUUGGAUUGUGGUUGUCGGAGAUUUGCAGCUGUGUACCUUUAGAGAAGAUCACAUAUUCAAUGAGAAGCAGGGGUGAAUUAUUUUAUAAAAUCUGGAAACCCUUUUUGAAUUAUAUAAAUAUAGCACCACAUGACUUAAUUUGA